GUCCUUCCGGCGCCAUCCCCGCCCCUUCCUGGUAUCGGUGGCCGACCAGGGCCAAAAGACCGUCGCUCCCGGAAGCCGGCCGGAACUAGAGACUCGGGCUCCAGUUUGACCCGGAGCGCUAAGGCGACGGCGGGAGGCGGGCGCCCAAGUCAAAGGAGAAUCAAGGUCUAGCAGGAAGGACCACCCGGCACCGAAUCGGCGCCUGGUCGGAAAUUCGACCCAGCGGUCUUCUCGAUGGGGCAGUUGAGGCGCCGCCUCGCCGGGGUGGAGACCCCAGGUCGACGAGCCAGCGGUACGGCCGCCGGCUGCCGCCUCUGCAUCUCCAGAAGCCCUGUGCCCAGGCCAGGGUCGGUCCCAGUGCAGUGAGCCCAGUGCUUGGGGCUCAAGUGUGGCGGGCCCCGGUACAGGAGCAGCGGGUCCCAGUGCAGCGAGCCCAGAUCCUGUGGCUGAUAGCUGAAGCUUGCUGCCUCUCCUGCAUGGAAAAGAGUGCUGUGUAACAUUGCUGCCCUGGGAACAAAUCAAAUUCAAGAUUGUACUUUAAAGACUCAUGACAAACCUUUAAAGGCUGAGCAGACCCUUGAGUGACAGGUGAUACUGUGACCGCUGUUGACCAGUGACGAGUCCUUGCUUCCCCAAUGUUGAAGAAUAACACCAGAGAAGCACGCCGACCAAGGACAGCAGAAAAGACUUCUCCAGGAGGAAGAAGGGGACCCAAGAGGUGGAAUCCAUUGAAGGGCAAAUGUGUUCCCCUUUUUAUUUUUUGGUGAUGGAAUGUAGGUGGGAAGGGUUGGGACACAGGUGGGCCAUAGAAGUAAUCUGGGCCUUUCCCUGUGGAGUUUGCUGUUCAUUAACAUUUCUUUGGGAUGGGCUAUCUCCAAAUCUGUUGGGGCUGUUUCCUGGGCUUCAUUAACAUUUCUUUGGGAUGGGCUGUCUUCAAAUCUGUUGGGGCUGUUUCCUGGACUUCAUUAACAUUCAGAGAGUUGCUCAGCUUUUCUGGAAAUUCAUUCUCAACAUGGCCUCCAUUUUAGAUUUCACUCGAUAUUAGACCUGAUUUACCUAACUACACUGACUACCUAAUUUUAAAUCUGGCUUCAAUACUGGGUGAGACCUUGGCAACCCUCAAAUGGGAUGUCAGUGCAGGUGGCAUUCCUGAAUAAUCAGCACUUCACUCAAGUCCCAUCCCUAAGUGACAGGCUCCAAACAGUGUUUCUGCUUUGUUUUUAGCAGAUCACUAAAGAUGAAAACUGGAUUAAAUUGGUCUAAUGUAGGAAUAGGAAUACCAAGACAUAAAAAGCCUUGGAGGAGACAGGGACCACUCUUUGCUACCCUUUAUCCACAGCUCAGCCUCAGUCCUAGACACUAGGUGGAUUCAAUGCCUAGACUAAUGGGGUACCAUCUUCUGACCUAGGUUCCUUGAGGCAAACUCAUUUGGGAGGUGACUGAUGAUUUAGCUUUAUCAGACUAGCUCAGGAUGCCUGCAAAGCAUGCCCCUGGCUGUGUUCAGAUGCAUGUAACAAGGAGAGGUCUGAGGUAGACUCUUUGCAUAGGAGUCUACUUGGUGUGGUGGCACAUUCCUGUAAUCCCAGCAACUCUGCAGACUGAGGAAGGAGGAUUACAAUUUCCAGGCCAGCCAGGAAAACUUUGUGAGACUCUUUAUCAAAAAUAAAAAGGACUAGGGAUAUACUCAGUGGUAAAGCACCCCUGGGUUACCCAAUACCAAAAAAUUUUUAAAAAGUUUAUAUUACACUGAAAUGAUAGAUUUGUGUCUGUCUCCACUACUGCACAGGCUAGUUCUUAAUGACCUUUGAUUGCCUAGUGUCUAACACUGUACCUGGUACAUCCUGGGUAUCUAGUCAGUGUUGCUGAACUGAACUACUACUCUUUAUUUUUAUUUACUUAUUUUGCUUUUGGAGGUUGAACCCCAGGGCGCUCAACCACUGAGCUACAUCCCCAGCUUUUUUUUUUUUUAAUUUUGAAAUAGGAUCUCACUAAGUUGCUGAGGCUGACCAAGGACCUGUGAUCCUUCUGUUUUAGCCUCCAGAGUUGCUGGAAUUGCAGGUGUGUGGGUUUAAAUGUGGUGCAUCUAAUAGGAGAAAGUUACAGUUGUAGCUUCAAAGAGAUUCUGUUGUACAUGUUGGUUCUUUUACUCCCCUCCCUCCUGCUUGUGCUUAUAUUUCCUGUAAAAAAUAAAUAAAUAAAGGAUGACAAAGUAUUUCUGUUUGUACAGACUUAAAAUUGAAAAGUUGAACUAUGGUUCUAAAGAGUGGGGUUUUGUAAUGCUAUCUGAGGUCAUAGGAGUAUUUUGACCAUAUCACGUUAUUGAU